UUGUAAUGCUCCUCCCAGGCUAAACAUUUACUAUAUAUUAAGACCAUGCAUGUGUCCCCAGACCUAGUUCUGUUUCUAACUCUGGCUUUAUUAAUGCUGGUGAUAAGU
rfam:Canis lupus familiaris chromosome 17, whole genome shotgun sequence.